AUAGAAAGUUACUUCGGUACAUCGGUGACAGGUGGUGCAUGGUUGUCGUCAGCUCGUGUCGUGAGAUGUUGGGUUAAGUCCCGCAACGAGCGCAACCCCUAUUGUUAGUUGCCAUCAUUCAGUUGGGCACUCUAGCGAGACUGCCGGUAGUAAACCGGAGGAAGUGGGAUGACGUCAAAUCAUCAUGCCCCUUAUGACCUGGGCUACACACGUGCUACAAUGGUUGGUACAACGAGUUGCGAGUCGGUGACGGCGAGCUAAUCUCUUAAAGCCAAUCUCAGUUCGGAUUGUAGGCUGCAACUCGCCUACAUGAAGUCGGAAUCGCUAGUAAUCGCGGAUCAGCACGCCGCGGUGAAUACGUUCCCGGGCCUU
rnacentral:rRNA from 1 species